GUGGGGAAUAUUGGACAAUGGGGGGAACCCUGAUCCAGCCAUGUCGCGUGUGUGAAGAAGGCCUUUUGGUUGUAAAGCACUUUAAGCGAGGAGGAGGCUACCGAGAUUAAUACUCUUGGAUAGUGGACGUUACUCGCAGAAUAAGCACCGGCUAACUCUGUGCCAGCAGCCGCGGUAAUACAGAGGGUGCAAGCGUUAAUCGGAUUUACUGGGCGUAAAGCGCGCGUAGGUGGCCAAUUAAGUCAAAUGUGAAAUCCCCGAGCUUAACUUGGGAAUUGCAUUCGAUACUGGUUGGCUAGAGUAUGGGAGAGGAUGGUAGAAUUCCAGGUGUAGCGGUGAAAUGCGUAGAGAUCUGGAGGAAUACCGAUGGCGAAGGCAGCCAUCUGGCCUAAUACUGACACUGAGGUGCGAAAGCAUGGGGAGCAAACAGGAUUAGAUACCCCGGUAGUCC
rnacentral:rRNA from 1 species